UGGGGGAUAUUGCACAAUGGAGGGAACUCUGAUGCAGCGACGCCGCGUGAGGGAAGAAGGUUUUCGGAUUGUAAACCUCUGUCUUCGGUGACGAAACGAGACGGUAGCCGAGGAGGAAGCCACGGCUAACUACGUGCCAGCAGCCGCGGUAAUACGUAGGUGGCAAGCGUUGUCCGGAAUUACUGGGUGUAAAGGGAGCGUAGGCGGGAAAGCAAGUUGAAUGUUUAAGGUACGGGCUCAACCUGUACAAGCGUUCAAAACUGUUUUUCUUGAGUGGAGUAGAGGUAAGCGGAAUUCCUAGUGUAGCGGUGAAAUGCGUAAAUAUUAGGAGGAACACCAGUGGCGAAGGCGGCUUACUGGGCUUUAACUGACGCUGAGGCUCGAAAGCGUGGGUAGCAAACAGG
rnacentral:rRNA from 1 species